CCUACGGGAGGCAGCAGUGGGGAAUAUUGCACAAUGGGGGAAACCCUGAUGCAGCGACGCCGCGUGAGCGAAGAAGUAUUUCGGUAUGUAAAGCUCUAUCAGCAGGAACGAGACAAGACGGUACCUGACUAAGAAGCCCCGGAUAACUACGUGCAAGCAGCCGCGGGAAUACGUAGGGGGCAAGCGUUAUACGGAAUCACUGGGGGGAAAGGGAGCGUAGACGGCUGAGCAAGCCUGAAGGGAAAGGCGGGGGCCCAACCCCCGGACUGCUUUGGGAAGUGUCCGGCUGGAGUGCAGGAGGGGUAAGUGGAAUUCCUGGUGUAGCGGUGAGAUGCGUAGAUAUUAGGAGGAACACCAGUGGCGAAGGCGGCUUACUGGACUGUAACCGACGUUGAGGCUCGAAAGCGUGGGGAGCAAACAGGAGUAGAUACCCUAGUAGUC
rnacentral:rRNA from 1 species